AAACGCUAGUGUAGAUCCGUCAUCGACCUGCGUCGAUUUUUAAUUUUAAAUUCAAAGAAACGGCUUGAGAUAUUCCGAGCAGUUAUAAAAAUUAAUUUGUGUCGAAUAUCGCUACUACAUUCUUGAAAAAGUGAUGUAGAUUUUUAGCCCAUAACUUUUUUUAUUUACAUCGACGAUACGGCGUCGAAGGAAAAAUAAACAGACCGUACGAAAGAAAAAG
rnacentral:ncRNA from 1 species